AGUCGAACGGCAGCACGGAGCUUGCUCUGGUGGCGAGUGGCGAACGGGUGAGUAAUAUAUCGGAACGUACCCUAGAGUGGGGGAUAACGUAGCGAAAGUUACGCUAAUACCGCAUACGAUCUAAGGAUGAAAGUGGGGGAUCGCAAGACCUCAUGCUCGUGGAGCGGCCGAUAUCUGAUUAGCUAGUUGGUAGGGUAAAAGCCUACCAAGGCAUCGAUCAGUAGCUGGUCUGAGAGGACGACCAGCCACACUGGAACUGAGACACGGUCCAGACUCCUACGGGAGGCAGCAGUGGGGAAUUUUGGACAAUGGGCGAAAGCCUGAUCCAGCAAUGCCGCGUGAGUGAAGAAGGCCUUCGGGUUGUAAAGCUCUUUUGUCAGGGAAGAAACGGUGAGAGCUAAUAUCUCUUGCUAAUGACGGUACCUGAAGAAUAAGCACCGGCUAACUACGUGCCAGCAGCCGCGGUAAUACGUAGGGUGCAAGCGUUAAUCGGAAUUACUGGGCGUAAAGCGUGCGCAGGCGGUUUUGUAAGUCUGAUGUGAAAUCCCCGGGCUCAACCUGGGAAUUGCAUUGGAGACUGCAAGGCUAGAAUCUGGCAGAGGGGGGUAGAAUUCCACGUGUAGCAGUGAAAUGCGUAGAUAUGUGGAGGAACACCGAUGGCGAAGGCAGCCCCCUGGGUCAAGAUUGACGCUCAUGCACGAAAGCGUGGGGAGCAAACAGGAUUAGAUACCCUGGUAGUCCACGCCCUAAACGAUGUCUACUAGUUGUCGGGUCUUAAUUGACUUGGUAACGCAGCUAACGCGUGAAGUAGACCGCCUGGGGAGUACGGUCGCAAGAUUAAAACUCAAAGGAAUUGACGGGGACCCGCACAAGCGGUGGAUGAUGUGGAUUAAUUCGAUGCAACGCGAAAAACCUUACCUACCCUUGACAUGGCUGGAAUCCUCGAGAGAUUGAGGAGUGCUCGAAAGAGAACCAGUACACAGGUGCUGCAUGGCUGUCGUCAGCUCGUGUCGUGAGAUGUUGGGUUAAGUCCCGCAACGAGCGCAACCCUUGUCAUUAGUUGCUACGAAAGGGCACUCUAAUGAGACUGCCGGUGACAAACCGGAGGAAGGUGGGGAUGACGUCAAGUCCUCAUGGCCCUUAUGGGUAGGGCUUCACACGUCAUACAAUGGUACAUACAGAGCGCCGCCAACCCGCGAGGGGGAGCUAAUCGCAGAAAGUGUAU
rnacentral:rRNA from 1 species